UAGGUAGGAAUACCCGCUGAACUUAAGCAUAUCAAUAAGCGGAGGAAAAGAAACCAACAGGGAUUGCCCUAGUAACGGCGAGUGAAGCGGCAACAGCUCAAAUUUGAAAUCUGGCCCUAGCGGUCCGAGUUGUAAUUUGUAGAGGAUGCUUUUGGUUAGGUGCCUUCUGAGUUCCCUGGAACGGGACGCCAGAGAGGGUGAGAGCCCCGUACGGUUGGACACCGAGCCUCUAUAUAGCUCCUUCGACGAGUCGAGUAGUUUGGGAAUGCUGCUCUAAAUGGGAGGUAAAUUUCUUCUAAAGCUAAAUACCGGCCAGAGACCGAUAGCGCACAAGUAGAGUGAUCGAAAGAUGAAAAGUACUUUGAAAAGAGGGUUAAAUAGCACGUGAAAUUGUUGAAAGGGAAGCGUUUGCGACCAGACUUUUUCCAGGCGGAUCAUCCGGUGUUCUCACCGGUGCACUUCGCCUGGUUUAGGCCAGCAUCGGUUCUCUUAGGGGGAUAAAGGCCUGGGGAACGUAGCUCCUUCGGGAGUGUUAUAGCCCCUAGCGUAAUACCCUUCGGGGGACCGAGGAACGC
rnacentral:rRNA from 1 species